AACAAAACAUGGGUUCUGGUGGAAUGGAGGGAGGAGCCUCCCACCUAUGAUAUUGUCCCUAAAAAGGACAUACUAAAAAAAAGUUUGAACCUGGAGAUGUUGUGGAUGUGGUUUAUGAAGAGGAAAGUUCCCCAGCCACAGUUAUAGAUAUUGAUGAGAGCAAAGAAACCCUCAGGAGGAGGAUGUUCAGGCUAGAGGGGAAAAGAAAAAGUCAGCCAUGUUUGCAAAAUGAUGCAAAAAGAGUGGCAAAGAAAAAAAAAACUUACACUCCAACUCAGUCCCCAUCUCACUCAUCAUCUGAUCAAGAGCCUCUGGUCAAACAUCAAGUCAUCCACAGAAAGGAUAGUAUUUUAAUGCAGGAAAUAAACAACAUGGACAGUCAAGCUGGA